rnacentral:rRNA from 1 species
CACCCGCGCCACUAGUGGGGACCACAUUUAUUGGGUCUAAAGCGUUCGUAGCCGGAUUGUUAAGUCUCUUGUGAAAUUGUUGCGCUUAACGUAACAGCGUGCAAGAGAUACUGACAGUCUUGAGAUUGGGAAGAGGCAGAAGUAUUCCAGGGGGAGCGGUAAAAUGUUAUAAUCCUUGGAAGACUACCAGUGGCGAAGGCGUCUGCCUAGAACAAGUUUGACGGUGAGGGACGAAGGCCAGGGGA